UCACUGUUUGGUGUUCUUGCUGUGUAUG
rnacentral:piRNA from 1 species